rnacentral:lncRNA from 13 species
CUGGAAUCUGGGCCAAUGCAUUUAAUUGAGAACACAUUUAAAUUUCUUUGAUAUUUCUUUAUAGCAAAGUAUAAUACCUCAAGGGGAAAACAUAUUUCAUCUAAGUUACAUUAACUUUGUUAAAUAAGUAAAUAACCACUUACCUGUAAUCAAAAGAAAUGGACAAAAUAUAAGCUACUGGCUUUAUCCCCCUUACAUCCAGAAUAAGCAAUUUCUUUUUCAUAUAACUAUUUUCUAUCAGCAAUUAGUUAUACUGAAUAAAUAUUUUAUGUAGAGGCCAUAAGAAUUUAGUUUUCCUAUAAAAGUAAUUGAUGCUAGUCUAUUUUCAACUCUUGAAAUAUUUUCUUGGCUUCCCUUGAUGAGAAUGUGUAUAGACAAACAGCACAGCUCCCACCAUUAUACUGUUUUCUAAGUUAUGGUCAUGCAUGGCCUGAAAUAGAGUUAUAAUGGCUAUAAAGUUCAUUACACAAGCUAUAGAGUGAAGGAAACUUAGGAAUCUUAUAGCUGGAUUUGUUUAGCCUAGUGUUUUCAACAUUCAAGGAGUUAAUUUAAAGGGCUCUUUUCUUCUCUCUUAAAGGAUAGGGUUUGCAUAGUGACACGUGCAGGUGCACAUGAAGACUGCUCCAAAGGAGAAAACAGUUCCACAGUCUCAAUAUGACAGCAGCAUCAUUGCCCUGACAGUGAGAGAUUUGUUGGCAUUGGAGGAGGAGAAAGCGGAGUCAUGAGACAAAGUGACCAAAUGAAAAUAAUGAAUAUAAAAUAGGAUCAUGGUACUAUUCAGAGUCUCCCUCUGUCGCCCACGCUGGAGUGCAAUGGCAAGAUCUUGGCUCACUGCAACCUCCGCCUCUUGGGUUCAAGCGAUUCAUGUGCCUCAGCCUCCUGAGUAGCUGAGAUUACAGGCACUCACCACCACACCUGGCUGAUAUUUUGUACUUUCAGUAGAGACAGGGUUUCGCCAUGUUGUCCAGGUUGAUCUCAAACUCCUGAGCUCAGAUAAUCCACCUGCCUCAGCUUCCAAAGUACUAGGAUUACAGGUGUGAGUCACUGCAAUCUUUGAAUACAAUUACUCUACUAACUGUAAGUCAACUCAUUAUUACUGUAAUGUAUCUGCUCAAAAUAUUUUCAUAAGUUUGUCCCUUAUGUAUAUUAUCUCUAUCGUAAUGAAAAUAAAGGUAUUUGGAUAUGACUUAACCA